AGUGAACGCUGGCGGUAGGCCUAACACAUGCAAGUCGAACGGCAGCACAGUAAGAGCUUGCUCUUACGGGUGGCGAGUGGCGGACGGGUGAGGAAUACAUCGGAAUCUACUUUUUCGUGGGGGAUAACGUAGGGAAACUUACGCUAAUACCGCAUACGACCUACGGGUGAAAGCAGGGGAUCUUCGGACCUUGCGCGAUUGAAUGAGCCGAUGUCGGAUUAGCUAGUUGGCGGGGUAAAGGCCCACCAAGGCGACGAUCCGUAGCUGGUCUGAGAGGAUGAUCAGCCACACUGGAACUGAGACACGGUCCAGACUCCUACGGGAGGCAGAAGUGGGGAAUAUUGGACAAUGGGCGCAAGCCUGAUCCAGCCAUACCGCGUGGGUGAAGAAGGCCUUCGGGUUGUAAAGCCCUUUUGUUGGGAAAGAAAAGCAGCAGGUUAAUACCCCGCUGUUCUGACGGUACCAAAAGAAUAAGCACCGGCUAACUUCGUG
rnacentral:rRNA from 1 species